GUGCAGCAGUCGAGAAAACUUUACAAUGCGGGCAACCGCGAUAAGGGGACCUCGAGUGCUGGGUUACAAACCUGGCUGUUGGGCUGCCUAAAAAGCAGUCUAUAGCAAGGGCCGGGCAAGACCGGUGCCAGCCGCCGCGGUAACACCGGCGGCUCGAGUGGUAACCGCUAUUAUUGGGUCUAAAGGGUCUGUAGCCGGCCGACUAAGUCUCUUGGGAAAUCUGGCAUCUCAAGUGUCAGGCUGCCAGGGGAUACUGGUCGGCUUGGGACCGGGAGAGGUGAGAGGUACCUCGGGGGUAGGGGUGAAAUCUUGUAAUCCUCGAGGGACCACCAGUGGCGAAGGCGUCUCACCAGAACGGAUCCGACGGCAAGGGACGAAAGCUAGGGGCACGAACCGGAUUAGAUACCCGCGUAGUCC
rnacentral:rRNA from 1 species